AUCAUCAACUAUAUCAAGUCCGACUUUCGCAACCCACAAGUCGCAUAGAUCAUGAGAGCUACAGAUUCAUAUAUUUUUUUAGUAUCCAAGUACGAAGAUAAUCUCAUAUAUUUUUAAACUGUAACUGACAUAUUCUACGAGUAUAAAUCCAGUUAUUAGAUACAUUAGAUUAUAAUUGUGUGUACAGUAAAUAAUUCAUUCACCAACCGAUUUGUUUUUCUUUACAAAAUCAAUGUUGAAAAUGAUUUUUUUUGUGCUAAUUAUCGGAUACUUAGCAUCCGCCAUUCAGGCUUGUCAAGAUAAAGGCAAUUGGUGUCACCCUAUUUCGGGCUAUGGAUGCUGUGACGAAUGGUGGAGUUGUUCAAACGGUUGGUUUUCUUAUGGAGUCUGUACGUACACACUUGGGGAUAUUUUUGGAUAAUUAUUUCUCCAAUAAUAUAUGACGCUUAUAUCAAUUAUCGUUAAUCUUAACUCAACACGAAAAAAAUUAAUCUUCACUUUGAUAAAUCACCGCCAUUUCUCCUCUGAGUCUUGUACCCAAAACUCACAUUAUAUAUUUAUAUAAAAAUUAAUUAACUCAUGUAAGGAUUUUUUUCUUCAGAAAAUAAAUUUGUAAAAAAUAUUAAAAAUUUAUAUUUUUUUUAUUUAACUCGAUUAUAAUUGUAGAGUAGAUUGGAUUAUAUAAAUCGGAAUGUUACAUUACUGCUUAAGAAAGGGUCUUAAAGAAAUUAUCUCACAUUAUCGUGGCCUAUCGCGCACGAUCCAAAGAUUUGACUCGUCGAUAGCGAGAAAGAUCAAUAUUAAUGGGUAAUUAAAUAAUAUAUCUAUGAUAUAUAAUAAUAACAAUUAUUAUUAUUAUCACCGUAUUUGAUGAUCAUUUUCAAAAUGUAUGUAAUGGAAAGGAGAAUUAGGUAAAAAUAAAUGUAAAGAGUCGAAGAAUGAAGCUCUCGGUUACAUCUAAGCUCACGUUACCAGUAAA